UUUUUUUUUUUUUACUCUUCUUUGGUAAGAACUCCUGGGAGUUGGCCAGACUCAAUUCCAGGUGCUGGGGGUUGAAGAUGAUUGUGGGCGUGGUGGAAAGAGGAGGAGUUGAUGUGACAAUAGAGGUGUGAAGAACAGUCCAGAGUCCUUUUUGUGCACCGCCCCACUUCGUCCUCAAAUCAGGUUUCAGGUAGAUCGGAGCCUCCUUCAUGGAUCAUGAAGAAGGUUCUGAGAGAUGGUUCGCUUGCUGGAGUCCCCCCGCAGAUAAACGGAGGGUCUGGAAAUUGAAGCCAUGCAAAUCUGGUGGCAGAGCCAAUGCCUUCCUUUCUGUAUCUCUUGGAAAGAGGGACUGUGAUCCAGAGGAGGGGGUUUCUUCUGAAACUCAAAGUGAGCAGUGCUAAGAGGUUGGGAGACUGCUGAGCUCUGUCCUGAGGAAGUCUGCUUGCCAGCAACCGGGUGAGGGGACUAGAAUUCUAUGAGUAGAGGCUGAACCUGACAGGCAAAGAAUGGCAGCUGUGCUCGGGGCCAGAGUGUAGAGGAUGUGGAGACCGUGCAUCCACAGCAACUGCUGUGUGGAUGGCUAAGAGGCUGCCUGCCCUGAGGAUUUUUGUGACAUAGCAGUCAGGACUGUGACAGUGUCUCCCUGUAGCUCUCUGAUCUGCCAGACGCACAUAAGCUGUAUGGAAUGCUACUUGCCACCUGACUGUCAGUUGCUGUUAAGUACUACCUGCAGAUGGCAGGGGCUUCACUAGGGUUCACAUCAUCUAGAAGUCCUACGUCUACUUCCAAAAGGGCUAACUAAGGCUGCCUCUUGUUAUCCAGGAGAGUUUUAUGGUUGCAGAUGCUCCACUGAACAUGGCAAACAGCCCCACAUGGACGCUUGAGCGGACUUUAGUUUGAGACCUCCUAAGCGCAGUACUGAAGGGCCAGUGGCAAUCUCCAUGUUCAGAAGCAGCUGCAGGUAUGGGGUGAGGAGAGGGUAGAGAUGCUGACCCAGACUGAGGGAAUGCCAUUACUCAUCACAGACUCACCACACUGGGUGGGAGCCCCAGGGAGACAGAUGCAGAGACGAGCGUGGCUGCGUUGUGGAGCCCUGUCGGUCCUGCUAAGAAGUUCAGGCUUAAACUUGAGUGCAUUGGCAGGAACCCUGCUCCGCUGUUGCGUUCUGCAUUUCAGAAGUUCCUCUGGUUAAUGACUGGCUCCCUGGUUCAUUUAUUCAUGGGUCUCAGACUGGAAAACCUCACCCAGGCUUGCCUGCACAUUCCCAAGCCCUUUGGCCAGAGAAAGCCUCUGUUCUGUGAGACCCUGUCACCUGACCUUUCGGAUCCAGGAUGUACCAGCUUCUGGAUGUCUCAGUCAUGUUUGCCCUUAGAUGGUGUUCCAAGCUGGUGUCUGAAUAGAGUCCAGCUAAGCUUAUUUAUUACAGGGAAUUUGGGGGAAAGCCUGACCCUGCCACCACCAUUUCUAACAUAGCUGCAAGGGAUCACACAAUCUGUGAAUUUCAUAGGGUUUGCUUACAAGCAGGUUGAGGGGAACGUCACCCUUUCACAGGAGGAAUAAGCUGAGCCCUGUGUUUUGAAUGCUGCCUGAGCAGGAAUGGGAUACAGGAGGGCCUGGUAAGCACUCUGGUUAUUUAUCUGAUGGUGUGUACCAGGGCAGGCUUUUCCUGAGCUAAAUCCCUUUAGUGGUGUGGGGUUGGUAAACUGUAAACUGCACCCCUCCUGCGUACCCACCUCCUCGGUUGGCCCUGAACACCUCCCUCACCCCCACUCCCAAGAAUGGCAUUUUGUUGUUAUGUGUUUAUAUUCUGACUUCUCCAGUGGACUGAAGUUCUUUGAAGAUAGGAACCUCAUCUAAUGACCUUGAGUUCUGUCGGGGCUUGACUGUAAGCACGUACUCCGGGGUUAUGUGUAAAACUAGUAGUUACAUCUCCAUAUCAUCUCCCAAGCAUGUGGGCGAAAAAGGAAAAUGCCCCCACUCCCCACCUUGCCCCCAUCAGUGCCACUGAUGUUCUAGAUGUUCAGCUCUAGAUGUCAAGAAGGGCUGUAGUCACCCACAUGCUCUGCUGUCACCAGGCAUUUGGACUUCGAAUGGCUCUAGCUACUGAAAGCCUUCUUAUGCUCUGACCGUGGUGGGGCCGUGCAGACAGUGACGUCCCCUUUUCCUUGUCUCCACGGUGGCCCGUCCUGGCAUGGAUCAGAGCUUCUGUUUGCUGGUCAUUCCACGAUCCUCACACAAUAUAAAUGAAAUCUGCUAAAACCAAUAAAUUCAAACCAUGUGUGGGGCAUGGGGAGGAGCCGGGACGUCAGAGGGCCACAGUGUGAGGUGGCGUCAGCUCUGACGGCACCCAAGUAGAUUUGUAUAUGUGGAAAGUAAAUACCCAAAGCCGUAAACAGCCCUGGGUCUCCCACUCUCACUGGGACUCAAAGGCGUUUAAUAGGAACACACACUCUCUGUUUCUUAUAAACCGAGCCAGAGCCUCUAUGUGUGCUGACCUAAAUUCUGAGUUUGCAAUCCCAGGCCAGCCAGCCAGGCAUCCUAGUCAUAGGCUGCAGACAGGCCGGGCCGUCAGCUUGGGUUCUCCUCUCUGGUUUUGGCAACUGGACUAGCAUUUGUGCUUUGUAAAGAACUGCUUCUCCUUUUCUUUGUCGUGUACAGCCCUGGUUGUCUGUUAAGUCUGUCUGUGCUGCUUUAACAGAGUGGCCUGAGCUGGAUAUCUCAGAAACAACAGAAAACGUCUCUCUGUCUGUUCUGGAGGCUGGGGAGAUCAAGGUGUCAGCAUCUGGCAUGCCUGCCGAGGAGUGGCUCCCUGACUCACAGAUGGCAGCUCUUCACUGUGUGCUCCUGUGGUAGAAGGCAGAAAGCUCAGGUCUCUUCAGUCCUGUGUCACAGCCCUAAUCCCACUUACACACAUCCCCAGCCCAACUUCCUGAUAUCCUGUGGGCUAAUUUCAACUUACAACAUUUUGGGCGAAGCACACAGACUUUGACAUGAUAGCAAUGGGUGGAAUGGGGGGUCACCCAUGUACCCAUGGUGUGUCCACAAUUGCACACUAUGUCGCAGCUUCACCAUCUCUUCUUUAGAACCCUGUAAUGUUCUUUAAGUUCCCUGUGGAUACUGACUCAGAACCCCAACAGCAUCUUUAGAGAACCUGCCUCGUUUCCUCACCCCUGUCCCCUGGGACCUGUCUUUCCCCUUGUUCACUAAGUCCUUUGCAGUUUUCCUUUCCAUCCUGAAAUUCUUGGCUUCAGAAAGAGCCCCCAGAAAGAACAGUUGGAUUGGAGGUAGGUAUCCCUGCCUGUCAGCUGUGGGGACUUCUGAGAGUUUCCACUGUGUCUUCACAUAGAGCCUUCUCAAGAUGGCUGCCCGGAUAAGUGGAGUUCAGACAGGCUGACCACCCAGGAUUGCUUUACCCUGCUUUUUCUGCAUCUCUAAACCCUUGAAAUGACCCCUUAACUUAGACAUUGAAGAGAGAAUCCAUUAAUACUUCCUAGAACUGAGUGGACCAAGCUUGCACAGUCAAAUACAUAGUGAGGUCAACAAAACUGGUGGAACUGGCCCCACACUAGUGGACUAUGACAAUGUCCACUUCCAAGUUUUCAUAUUGUGCCAUACUAUGUAAGGUGUCACCCCUGGGAAAAACCGAAUAAAGGGAAUUAUUCCUUCUAACUCUAUAUGGACUUACAAUUAGCUUGAACUGAAAUUUUAGUUAAAUAAAGGAAUUAGAACAGGUGAUGGGGCUUACCUAGUAUUUGCAACAUAGCAAAAGUCCUAGGUUUAAUCUCCACCCUGGAAAAGGAAAGGAAAGAAGGAAGGAGGAAGUGAGGGCAGAAGGAAGAAAAGAAGGAAGGAAGAAGAAAAGAGAAAGAACAAUGGGUCAGCCUUCCUAACACCCUCCUUCCUUAAUUCUUCUGUGUCUGCUGCACAAUUCCAGGCACUGUCAGUGAGCACCAAUGACAUCACUCGCACCUCCACCUCCUACAGGUACUCAAAGGAGAUUUCCCUUGAUAACUCCAUUUCAAAGGACAAGUCAUCCCCUUGAUCAUGCAUCCCUUUUCUCCCACAGCACACAUCACCCACUGGCAGCCUGUAUAUUACACCUGCAUAUCACUUCUUACCACACCAACUCCACUAAUACAGAGAUCUGUGUCCCUGUUGUUCUAUCCUUAGCACCUAGAACAUACCAGGCACAUAGCAGGUAGUCAGCUAAUGUUUGCCAAGUGACUGAGAGGUGACAGACAGGAAACAAGUACACAAUGAGUAGUAAGAAGUCUGGGGAGGUAAAUGAAGAAAACAAACCAGGGAUAGGGUGGGGAGAGGGACUGUAGCUGUCUCUGCAAGCCUGGCAGAGUGAAGAGUAAGGUCCCGGCCCCUUAGAUCUUAGUCUGUUUAUUAAACCUGCUCUUGUCUUCACCCACUAGCUUUGAGCUCUUGCUAUGUGCAGGGCUCUGUGCACAGGCUGAGAUGAGGCAGACAACAGCUUGUCCCAGGAGGCCUGCUAGUCAGAACAGGAGGGGACAAGGACACAAACAACAUACUGAAAGGAAGAAAGAAGUGCUUUCUGGUCUGACCUGUACUCAGUGGCCAGAACGUAAUUUACUGGCUCCUCCUCCCCUGCCUAUCUGAGUGACUCCAGAGCUCUAAUUAGUCUACUCUCUGCAGUCUGAACUCUGGACUUCUAGAGUGUCCUCACACUCCCUGUCCAGGUCCUCUUUCCCAGUCUUGCUCUUCUACAGAAAGUCUUCCCUGACUGCCCCAGCUCCCACUAUCUGGCUUCUCUAAGCACUCAUGCUAUCUGUAGUCUGUGCUGCAUCAUUUGAGCCCAGGAGAGAGUCUUGCAUUUGUUCAUGUACAGCAGAAGCUGGCUGAGAAGCUCUGCCGGGCUCAGGUGCAUAGUGGGUCUUUGGCAGCAUGCUUGUGGCUGAUGGGUUUGAGAGCACAGGAAACAGUGACUCAUCAUCAAAGAGGGCAGGCUUUGUUGGUUUUGUCAUUGACCCAAACUCUCAUUUAGCCACUGGUGGUUCGGUUAGGGGAUAGGCUGAGACAGCCUUUACUGCGGUUCAAGUGAGCUGUGAACAAAGAGAUCAUGCAAACGAUCUGCCCCAGACAAUGUUUAACAGAUUUCAGGAGCUGGACUGUUUGCUCGAAAAAUUCUCAUAAAGCACAAGAAAAUAUUGGUGCAGUGUUUAUGGCUGCACAUUCGUUCGCUGAACAAAUGUGUUUUAGAAAUAAACCUUUGACUGGA
rnacentral:sRNA from 1 species